UUUAAGUGUAGUUGUGUUUAACAUUUAAACAAUCGUCUUAUUUUAAAUUCUUUUAUGAUUAGUAUUUUUUGGUUAUUAGAUGAUAAAACAUUAAUAGUAUUUUAUGCGUGACUUAUUUUCUAAAAAAUUCAUAAAAUUUUCAAAUAAGACAAUGAUCAAACGUUGGAUAUAGAAACCCACAACUAUACUUAGA
rfam:Oryza meridionalis cultivar OR44 (W2112) chromosome 5, whole genome shotgun sequence.